UCGUUGCUACCUGGGGUGCCUCAGACUCACCCAAGUCCCCCAGGCCAGAGGACAUGCUCUCAAGCCUUGUUUCAGAAAGAGGGACCCAAAGGCUGUUAGGGAAGAGAACCAGGGUCCUCAAACCCAGGGUUUUCUCACCCACUGCCUCUGCUCUGGCUGUGGCCUGCCAGACCUCUCCUCUGAUUUUCGCUUUCCUUCCUGCCAGUGCCUUUGUUUAUCCGAGGCGCCAAGAUCCCACUGUGAAGUCUGAAAGGAAGACCAGUGGUUCUCGCUUUUCCUCUAGAUGCUGUGUCUCCCAAUGUCAUCUUCUUUCCUCUCAAAGACAAUUGGACGUUGUUACAGAUUUUCUUGGAAUGAGUAAAUACCUAGCAGUGGGAUUGCUGGAUCAUAUGAAAAUGCCAGACUAUAUUUCAUCAGCAACAUCGGAGAGUUCCAGUUGCUCUACACCCUCACUAGCACUUAAUAUUGUUGAUCGCUGCCUGGAUUCACAGAAGGACAAAUUACAAUGCAUUUUGAAAGACUCGUCUACAGUCAACUAAAAUACCAGUUAUCACAGACUUCACUGGCCUUAAUGAGGAGGCUGAGAGGGAUUUAAUUACUGGGACAUGCAACGCUUACACCAAACUCUGUUCGAUUCACGACUUGGAAAAGCAAAUGUGGAUACAGAUGAGUGUGGACAUGGCUUCAGUAGGAAAUGUCGAGUUUGUUCAUCACUCUGAAGUUUCUUCAGCUGCAACGGAAACUGCACCCUCCCUCCCGACUUGUUGGUUAUCUUGCUGUGCUCCCAAGAAGGUAUUUUCUGCUGACCUGAUAGAUCAGACCUUUGUCAUUUUGAUUGAAAAGAUGUUUACCUGUUGGUCCCCAGCCUCACUCUUCUGAACCUCAGAUCCACUGAGUGUGUAUCCAGAGGUAAGUAUGUGGUAAGUAUGCUUGUCAUUUACAUUAUCUGUCAGCAUGAGUAUUGGUUUCCUAGAAACCUAAUAUUGAAAACACUUAGCAUUGCUAAAAGCAUUAAAUGAAAUAAAGACUCAAUAUAGCUGCACUAAUCUGUGCUUUCUAAAUUUACUGAUGGACGUGAAGAAAGUAGGUUGGCAUGGAGUUUAUACAAUUUAUGGAUCACACUGAUCUGAAUUCAGACAGUGUGUGCUCAGAUAAAAAUAUUGUUUCCUCCCAUGAGGUUUCCAAUUUUGCAGAGAAGAAUACCUCUGUUUAGCUCAUUACUUAACACAAUGGGUAGCUGGGUGGCCUUGCAUUCUGGAAGUGAAAUGACACAAGAAUGUCUCCACUGCAUUCUCCAGAGGUAAAGAUUCUCUGGCACAAAAUCACAACCAAGGUGGGGUUCCAAAACUAUAGAACAAAUGGCAGCAGCCAUGCAGCCAGCCUUGGUUCGGGUGGGCUGUAAAAGCAGAGGUUGUCCUCGUGUUAUCAGCACUGACUUCCUGUUGUGGCCACACUGACAGAGAUGAGAUGGCAGAAAGCAGGAAAGAGACCAGAGCUGCAAUUGACAGAUGGCUGGCCAAAGUUGAAGGGUCAGAGACUACACCAAAGACUUCUCAGAAAAUACUUGCCUAGGAGGCUCUCACUUGGAAAGAUAUUCAGGGUUGUUAAACAUAUCCUGUUAUUAGGAAAACGAGAGUUUUAUCUUUCUCUUACUCAGAAAGAAAAAACAAAAAGAAAAUUAGUGCUCUUAAGAAAAGCUAUUUUAAUGUUAUCCAUUAUAAAAUUAGAAAACCUUGAAAGGCAAAUGUUUCUUCUGACCAUUUACACUGAGCUUCUUUCAUUAUCUCAUAUGCAACCUUGUGGAUUGAAGGUGGAGAGUCCUUAGGAUUACCCAGGAACAUCCCUGUCUGCUCCCCCUGCUAGGCAGGAGGAGAUUUGAAACCACAUGUGUCUACUUCAUUUCUGUCACGGGUAGGACAGUGUCAUAUACUUUGUAGGUAACUCAAAGAUAUUAUAGGUAACUCAUAGAUAUUGAUUGAAUUAAUGUUUAAUAAAAUGAGAACACC
rnacentral:lncRNA from 1 species